AACGAACGCUGGCGGCAGGCUUAACACAUGCAAGUCGAGCGGGCCCUUCGGGGUCCGUGGUUGACGGGUGAGUAAUACGUGGGAACGUACUUAUUGGUUCGGAACAACUCCGGGAAACCGGAGCUAAUACCGGAUAAGCCCUUAGGGGGAAAGAUCUAUCGCCAAACGAUCGGCCCGCGUCUGAUUAGCUUGUCGGUGGGGUAACGCCCCACCAAGGCGACGAUCAGUAGCUGGUCUGAGAGGAUGAGCAGCCACACUGGGACUGAGACACGGCCCAGACUCCUACAGGAGGCAGCAAGGGGGAAUAUUGGACAAUGGGCGCAAGCCUGAUCCAGCCAGGCCGCGUGAGUGAUGAAGGCCUGAGGGUUGUAAAUCUCGUUUGUCCGGGAAGAUAAUGACGGUACCGGAAGAAUAAGCCCCGGCUAACUUCGUG
rnacentral:rRNA from 1 species